rnacentral:lncRNA from 1 species
CUGUUUGCUGCUAAUCGAGAGGGACGGUGCAUUUUGCCUUGCUGAGCCUGCCUCGCCCAGGUGGUGGAUUAAAGGAGGUUGAUAUUGCUCAUUUCAGUCAAAAAUUAACCCAGGGCCACAGAGGUUUUGCAGCUGUUUCUCCUCCACAGAGCUGAAUCGAUACUAAGGAACUCUGUUGCUUGGAGACCUGCAUUUUUCUACCUGUGCUCAAAACAGUGGACAUUUUUAAUGCAGCCAACAAUGAUGAAGUAGACUAAUUACAGUAGAAAAUCUAGACUCUCAAGAUGAUGGCUGGCAACUCGAGAGAAAGAAAAACAU